rnacentral:rRNA from 1 species
GAAUUUAAGCAUAUAAUUAAGCGGAGGAAAAGAAACUAACAAGGAUUCCCCUAGUAAGGGCGACUGAAGCGGGAAUAGCUCCAAUUGUGAAUCUGUGCUUUGAACUAUAUUGAAAGCGCCGAAUUGUGGUAUGUAUGCAAUUAAAAAGACCGGACAAAGUUCCUUGGAAGAGGACAGCAUAGAGGGUGACACUCCCGUUUGUCUGGCGCUUUUGGAAGCAUACAUGUGAGAGUCGAGUUGUUUGGGAUUGCAGCUCAAAGUGGGUGGUAAAUUCCAUCGAAAGCUAAAUAUUGGUGGGAGACCGAUAGCGUACAAGUACCGUGAGGGAAAGAUGCAAAGAACUUUGAAAAGAGAGUUAAAGAGUACCUGAAAUUGCUGAAGUGGAAGCGAAGGAAACCAGUGUCUUGCACGCUAUAUUUCUGUGUUCACCUAUGGUGGGUACAGCGCUGUGGCUGCAAUUGUCAUGUUUGGUGGGGUUUGUCCUAAGUUGUGUGAUGAAUCUGACCGAAUGUGACAAAAUGGUUUUCUUUACCCCGUCUUGAACAACGGACCAAGGA